rnacentral:rRNA from 1 species
GAUGAACGCUGGCGGCGUGCCUAAUACAUGCAAGUCGAGCGGACGGACGAGAAGCUUGCUUCUCUGAUGUUAGCGGCGGACGGGUGAGUAACACGUGGAUAACCUACCUAUAAGACUGGGAUAACUACGGGAAACCGGAGCUAAUACCGGAUAAUAUUUUGAACCGCAUGGUUCAAAAGUGAAAUACGGUCGUUCUGUCUCUUAUAGAUGGAUCCGCGCUGCAUUAGCUAGUUGGUAAGGUAACGGCUUACCAAGGCAACGAUGCAUAGCCGACGUGUGGGGGUGAUCGGCCACACUGGAACUGAGACGCGGUCCAGACUCCUACGGGAGGCAGCAGUAGGGAAUCGGCCGCAAUGGGCGAAAGCCUGACGGAGCAACGCCGCGUGAGUGAUGAAGGUCUUCGGAUCGUAAUGCUCUGUUAUUAGGGAAGAACAUAUGUGUAAGUAACUGUGCACAUCUUGACGGUACCUAAUCAGAAAGCCACGGCUAACUACGUG